GGAGGGGUACUGUUCAGUGGUGGAGCGUGUGCUUAGCAUGCACGAGGUCUUGGGUUCAAUCCCCAGUCCUUCCA
rfam:Camelus ferus unplaced genomic scaffold scaffold1728, whole genome shotgun sequence.